UGUGGCAGAAUAGUGCGGUGGACUUAAACCCCAUAAAUAAAGUGUGACUUUUUUUAGAA
rnacentral:tRNA from 1 species